ensembl:ncRNA H01G02.6 ncRNA
AUGCUCGUAAAAUGUUAUGGGCUUACGCAGCAGCUUCUGUGAGCUUUUUGGUGUGGUAAUCGAAUGUGCUCUUUCUCUAUAUUGCUCAGGUGUCCACUACAUGCCGUGGGAAUUGGUAUGGA